rnacentral:rRNA from 1 species
AACGAACGCUGGCGGCAUGCCUAACACAUGCAAGUCGAACGAGACCUUCGGGUCUAGUGGCGCACGGGUGCGUAACGCGUGGGAACCUGCCCUUAGGUUCGGAAUAACUCCCCGAAAGGGGUGCUAAUACCGGAUCAUGUCUUCGGACCAAAGAUUUAUCGCCUUUGGAUGGGCCCGCGUCGGAUUAGCUAGUUGGUAGGGUAAAAGCCUACCAAGGCGACGAUCCGUAGCUGGUCUGAGAGGAUGAUCAGCCACACUGGGACUGAGACACGGCCCAGACUGCGAAGGGAGGCAGAAGUGGGGAAUAGUCGGCAAGGGGCGAAAGCGUGAUGGAGCAAUGCAGCGUGGGUGAUGAAGGUCUUAGGAUUGUAAAGCACUUUAAGUAGGGAGGAAGGAAAGUGUGUGAAUACAUGGCCGUCUUGACGGGAACUAAUGAGAAAGCAACGGCUAACUACGUG